CCCUAUGGGGUGCAGCAGGACCAUUAAAAAUCUCCUGGAGGUAACAAGGAAAAAGGAUUUCGGAGCAAACAAUAUCAAUUUCAAUGAUUUUAUCUCUGAGGUCCUCAACCAGAUAAAUUUCAAGAAGAUGAAGGUAAAGCUCAUCAAAGAGAUCCUGCCCGACCUCCCCGAGAUCAACGGUGACCCUGAAGCAUUGCGGCAGGUCUUCCUGAACGUGAUCAAUAAUGCCGUCGACGCCGUGGAAGGCACGGAAAAUGCAACAAUAUGGAUCAAGACGAUGCUGAAAAACGAUAACAGGCUUGAGGCGGCAAUCGAAGACAACGGCAUCGGCAUACCUGAAGAUAUGGCGGAGUUGAUCUUCGAACCCUUUUUUACCACGAAAGAACCAAAGAAAGGUAUGGGUCUCGGCCUGACGCUCUGUUACGAUUUCCUCCAGAGAAUUGGCGGGAGGGC
rnacentral:rRNA from 1 species